rnacentral:rRNA from 1 species
CUGCUGCCUUCCGUAGGAGUCUGGUCCGUGUCUCAGUACCAGUGUGGGGGACCUUCCUCUCAGAACCCCUACGCAUCGUCGUCUUGGUGGUCCGUUACACCGCCAACUAACUAAUGCGACGCAUGCCCAUCCGCCACCGGAAUUAACCUUUGGCACCAACAGGAUGUCCCGUCGAUGCAUUAUGCCGUAUUAGACGGAAUUUCUCCCGAUUAUCCGGCUGUGGCAGGCAGGUUGCACACGUGUUACUCA